AUCCCUUCGCCUGGGACCUGCUACUGCUCACUUUGUGACGGAAAUGUUGCCUCACUUUUCAAGGUAGUUGAAGUAAGAGAACACAGACAAGUGUCAUGGCUGCUUAAGAGAUGAAGAUUUUAUUCAAGGAGGUGGGCUCCAGGGAGAUAUGGUCAAAGGGCUGAUUCUAGGCCAAAGACUAGAAUUUGUUGCCCUGGAAAUAGUACCUCCCUCCUCAGAAAGCAGAGCCCACUUGUACAAUCAUCUCCUUGGGUCCCUGCAUGACCACCCAGGAGGGGCCAGUUGCCACCUGGAAGAGCAGAGUAUAGCUGUGUCUCACUCCAUCAGCUCACACGCUAACAAUGGAGUGAAUCAAGAGUGUUAACAUGGCUCCUGUCCAAGAAGGUUAUUACUUUAUCUCAUUUUUUUGAAGCCAAGUGUUAUAGCUUUUAUCCAGCAUUGUAGUGGAGGCUCUAGCCAUUGAAGGUAAGAAAAAGAAAUAAAAAUUACCACAAUUGGACAGAAAUAAACAAAACUAAUUAAGAGAUGACAUGAAAAUUGUCCAAGUGAAGGACCUAAUUUAUGUACAUGUACACACACACACACACACACACACACACUCACACACAUCAUGAGAAUUUAACAAGAUUGCUAGAUAUAAGACCAGUUGUGUAGCCACACAAUAGCAACCAAAAGUUAUAAAGUGUUGUUAAAUUUAAUUAAAAUACAGUUUAAAAUAACAAAAACUAUGCUACCAAGAAAGAGAUGUCACAAAAGAUGUCUGCCUUUUAUGUGGAAAAGCACACAAUUUUACUGAAAGACAUGAAAGAAGAGCUAAAUAAAUGGAGACAUGUUUCUAGACAAGGUGAUCAGGUUUUCCAUAAUUGAUCUGUUAACAUAGCAAUUGAAUUCUUGAUGAAACUUGAUAGAUAGCAUCUAAGUGCAUAUUGAAAGAGGAAAGGAUGAACAAACAGCCAACAACAGCUUGAAAAAAGAAAAAUGUAGGGGAACUUGACCCACCAGUUAUAAGGAUUUGUUAUCAUGCUUUCCGUUAGUUCAGUGGAUGGCUACACAAAAGGAUCACCUAAACAGAAUGAAGAGCCAGGAACAGAGCCGCCUGGAUGCAAACCUAACUUUACAGGGCCCACAUUGCAGACCAAGGGGGGACAAUUAACUAUCCUGUGGAAACAAAUAACAUUGGAUCUCUGCUGCAUAUUCUAAACAAAUCUAGUUCAGGUGAAUUGAAAGUUGAAAAGUGAAAGGAAUUUUAAAGCUUCUAAAAGAGAAUAUAGGAUAAAAUCUUUUACCUCAGGUAGGGAAGUAUGUUUAAACAAUUCACACAAAAUACAAGCUAUGAAAGAAAAGGCAGUAAAUUUGAUUAUGUGAACAUAACAUUUUUUUGUUUAUUGUAGGCAGAGAAAAAGAAAACCUCAAAGAAAAUUGGCAAAGGAGAUGAAAAAGACCUUCUAUAGCACAACCAUCCCUGAUGCUGGGUGGCUGCACCAGCUUGCAUUCCCACCAACAAUGCAAAAGAGAUCUUCUUUCUCCUCAUCCUCGCCAACACCUGUUGUUGCCUGAGUUGUUCAUGUUAGCCAUUCUGACAGCUGUGAGAAAGAAGAAAAGAAACGAAAAAGAGAACAAAAGAAAAAAAGAAAUCGUUUGAUAAUUUGAAAAAGUGAAUACUCUGUAGCAAACUAAAAUAAAAUGCUGGAAGUAAAAUAGAAUUUUAAAAAAUUUACAUAAAAGUAAAAAAUAGGAAUAAAAAUUAAAGAAAAAUAUUUUUAAUAGAGAUUGAAAGUAAUGAAGUUUGAAAAAGUAAUGAAAGUAAUGAAGUAAUGAAGAUUGAAAAAAAUGAAGUUUUUUUCUUUCUGCAUUCAAGAAAAAGAAAAAAAAUGAAAAAGACAAAAAAAGAAAAAGAAAGAAAAAAGAAAUUGUUUUAAAAUUUGAAAAGGUGAAUACACUGAAGUAGACUAAAAUAAAAUGAUGGAAGUAAAAUAGAAUUUGAAAAAAUUUACACAGAAGUAAAAAAUAUAGUAAUAAAAAUUAAAGAAAAAUAUUUUUAAUAAGAAUUGAAAAUAAAAAUGAAUUUUUUCUCUUUCUGUAUUCAAGAAAAAGAAAAUUGUAAAAGAGAAAAAGAAAAAAAAGGAAAAAAAAAGAAAGAAAAUUGAAUGGAUGAACCUGCUAACAGAUUGAAGUAGGACUGAAAUUGCUUCGUUUUCCCCUAGAAGUCAGUCUAUGUAGCGCUUUAUAGUCCAUAAACUAAGCCGGCAGUGAGACUUGUGCGUUUGAAGAGCGAAGUUGGCCCAGUUGGGCGGGGCUCAGUGUAACAGCUCCGCUCUCCACUAGAUGGCGCUACAAGCCUACUGGGGUGGAUUGUUGCGGGGCUUGUAGGUGCGUAUGCGCAUGCGCGGGAGUGGUGAAACUAGCGCCCCCCCCCCAGCAACCGAGUCUGUUCUCCCGGAUCGUGCACCUGUCCUCUGUCUUCAGCUCUUGUCCACUCCCCACUUUUUCACUCUCCGUGACCAGGCCGCAGGCAGUACCUCUCUCCCGAGUUUUGUCUCAGAUGCAGCUCUUUUCCCCGGCCCCUUACUUCCGAAGGACUGUGGCUUUGACCUGUUCCACCCCUCUGCGGGAGGGUCUCACCGAGUAAUGGCCGAAUGAGCAAUGGUCGAAUGUCGGCUGCACCCAGGAACGCUUACUGGACCCUGGUGCAGCUGGUGCCCUGAGACUGUGGCCAGGUGCCAGCCCACCCCAGAAAAAUUUCACGAGAUAGUGUAGCAGCAGCUUUUCAGGGAUUAUGGAACAUCGCAACACACAUCUGGCACCAGUCUUCACCCUCAACAACCUUGCCCCAGCACCAGCGAAUGUGGCUGCCUUCCAGGGUCUGCUGGGACCAGGUGGCUUCAACAGUGUCUACCGAAUGUCCUUCCAGCAGCGGAACCGCUUUCCCUGUGUGGCCCGAGAACCUCCCAGAUCCCACUCUGUUCCUGGGGAUUCGCCCUUCCCACCAGAGCAUCGCCAGGUAUGGAGCUGCGGAGUUGCAGCCUUUGAGCUCCCCUUGUUUACAGUCUUAUUGGAAUUUAAACCCUCUCCUUUGUCCUUUCUCCCUUUUUAGUUUAGUCCCUGCGGCUGUUUCCAAUUUUCCACUUUCUCUCCUGCUGCUUUUGGGGAGGGGUGCUUUUCCCAUAUUCUCAGCCCCCCUCCAGUCUCCCUCCUCCCUCCGCUCACAAAAGCACCUCCCUUCCUGCUCCUUCUCGCUCCCCAAGUUUACCUCUCCGCACCGUGUACCUGCUGAAUUCUGUGGUUCAGGUUGUGCAGAUUGUUGUGUUAAUCCUCCAGUCAGUUUUCUAGGUGUGUAGGAUGGUUUAGUGUUGGUCUGGCUGUAUUUCAUGGACACGAGACACACAAAAAACUUCCAUGCUGUUCUGCCAUCUUGGCUUCUCCCUCCUGACAAUUUCAUUCUUUGAUGUAUAGGUAUGUGGAUAAAUUCUUGCUCAUGUGCAUAAUGUAUAAAAAUAUUCAGGGCACCUGGGUGGCUCUGUCAGUUAAGCGUUUGAUUGUUGAUUUCAGCUCAGGUUAUGAUCUCAUGGUUCGUGAGUUUGAAGCCUGUGUCAGGCUCUGCACUGACAGUGAGGAGACUGUUUGGGAUUCUCUCUCCCUCUCUCUCAAAAUAAAUUAAAAAUCAAUAAAAAAUAAAAAAACAUAUUCAUCCUGGUUUACACAAAUGUCUAUUCAAAUGUCCGCUGACAGGAGAAUGGAUCAAUAAUUUGUGGACUAUAGAGAGGUGAAGAUGUUUGAAUGCAGCUUCAUGCUUCAACAUGGAUGAGAACCACAAACAUAAUGUGCAGUAAAGAAAAUAAGUCACAAAAGGACACACAGAGUGUGAUUCUACUUAAUAAAGUUCAAAUGCACAAAAACGAGUAGCAUAUAUUUCUGGGUUACGUGCAUAUGUAAAAAAGUAUAUUAAAACGCCAUAAUUUUUGGUGGGGAUGGAGGAAAGAAGAAAAACUUGUGGGUAAAGAUAUCAGGGGCUGUGUCAGAAUUAGUAAUUUGCUAUUUCUUAGGCUGGCUUGGACAUAUGGAUGCUCACUUAAUCAUUCUUUAUACCUUAGCCAUUCACUAGGUAUACUUUUUGAAUGUAUGAAAUAUUUCAUGAAAAAUACAUUUUUAAAAAGCUUCUAGCUGGCCACAGACUCCCAUCAACUGAUGCAGGCAGUCCAAUUAUUUCCUUAUUUACAGCUGGAUUUUAUACUUUUAACUUUGGCUCAUCCCUGAACAAAUUUACCGAACAUGGUCUAGUGAUCAGAUUAGCAGCCCUCUAUAAUGUUUUAGCUAAUCCCAACCUCAGCAUAUGCAUAAUACAAUUUUAAUGACCCAGAACAACAUAUUUAGUCAUCUAGUAUAGGCAGUUUCCCCAUUAGCAAUUGCAUCAGAAAUCCCCCAGUAUGUAAUUUCUAUUAGUGACUUUAUUAUGAAG